UACAGAGGUCUCAAGCGUUGUUCGGAUUCAUUGGGCGCAAAGGGUGUGUAGGUGGCGCCGUUAGUCGGGUGUGAAAUUUCGGAGCUUAACUCCGAAACUGCAUUCGAUACUGCGGUGCUUGAGGACUGGAGAGGAGACUGGAAUUCAUGGUGUAGCAGUGAAAUGCGUAGAGAUCAUGAGGAAGACCAGUGGCGAAGGCGGGUCUCUGGACAGUUCCUGACACUGAGACACGAAGGCCAGGGGAGCAAACGGG
rnacentral:rRNA from 1 species